GCUGAGGGUUAUUUCAGUGCAGUCAGGCCGGCCUGGCUGCCGGCAUAAAUGUGAAACUAACUGGUGCAGCUGAGCCGGUGGUGGGUAUGUGAACGUGCUCGAUGCUGUGCCUCAUUGUGCUUUCUUCUAAGCCUGUAAAAGAAUCUGAUAGCUUAAAUGGGGACUUGAGCUUGAUAAAAGUCUCCAUGCUUCUAGGAAAAAUCUGUGCCACCAAGCCCUGCUGUAACACAAUGCAGUAAGUGUGCUAACUCGGGGUUUAGGCCUUGCCUCUGGUGCUGGGCUGUUUUCCUGUUUAGGAACCUCAGACUUCCAGCUGCAGUUGAGAAAUAGCUACAACUUCAAGCCUCUGCAUACUCAAAGAUCACAAGCUGGAGCCAGUUUUUUUGCUUGCUUUACUUCCCUGGUGGUCAAGCUGACCAGUUCUGAAGGUAAGGUUGGCAAGUGGCUCUGUGUUAACUCCUUCCUCAUAUGUCUUGGGAAUGCACCCAUCAGGAAAAAUUCCCUGGCGCUCCCUGAAGACCUCGGAACACAUCUAUUCUUGAGCAAAGAACACGCCUUAAAUCUAUGGACUGAGUGAACAAAGAUUGCAUGAAAACACAAAAAGCAAGCUCUAUCUUUAAUGAUAAAAAAAAAAAAGUUUAAAAAUUAUGAAUUCUGUAAAGAGAGAAACAAAUAUGCCCAGAAUACCCAGAGACUUCAGUCAAUGAUCAGUUAACUGGAAAUAAUGGCUAAAUUUCAGGAAAUGUGAAAUAUGAUUCGAUUUGUUUAUGCCUCAGGUGUGACACUUACAUCUUUUAAUCAUUACCUGCAAGCUUUGCAAAUAUUUUAAGACUCAACCUGUCCUUUCUGCAUGCAGACCUCCAGAUCCUCAGCUGCUACAAGAUUUGUAACUCAAGAAUGUCUGUAAUGAAGCAACUUACAUACAAUAUAUAGUUUUAUUUUCAUGUCCACUUUUUGGUACCAUUUUUGGUAUUUUGAGACACUGGUCUGAAAGCCUCCCCAGGGACCAGCCAUCUCCAGCUGGUGGCAGAGCAGUUUGAAUGCUUGGCCACAAGCUGGGGACAAGGACAGCUUGGGCUGCAGCUCCCUGGAGGCUGGGGCAGCAUCUGACAGAGUUAUUCCUGUGUAUUAUUCCUGUG
rnacentral:lncRNA from 1 species